rnacentral:lncRNA from 1 species
CUUUCCCUUUUCGGUGCCGUAGCCAACCACACUCACACCAUGGUCCAAUUCGACCCCACAUUUUCCGGAGAAUAUUCCCUGAAGAGAUUUUUUUUAAAUGAGGAGUAAUUUCAAAAAAAAAUUAGAAAUUUUCCACAAUUAAUUUCAUCACUGUUUUCAUUAGGAACUAAACAUAUUAGACAUUUUCAAAUUCACAUGGUUCUUCAUUUGGUUUAGCAUUUUCAUUUUUCCUCAAUUCAAAAUUUCAUAAACCAAACAGAGCCCAAGAGAAUUGUUGUAGAUGGUGCAUGAUAACUAACUCCUAACAUCCUUUGUCAAAGUACUAUGAUGUAAUAACGUCGUUUUUGUUAAAAACUCACCGAGUUAUAAAGUUGAAAGUCCCGCCCACCGGCUUCAACAGCCACGCUAAUGGGUUGGCUAGCAGCCGCCUUCUGCAGUGCCUUUUCGUCGCUCACAGGCACAUCCUCAUAGCCAUCGAUCGAGACAACUUUGGCAUUUUUCUGCAUUAUCAAUUAUUUUAAAUAAUAAUAAUAUAUAUAUAAAAAAACAAUUAAAUGUCAGCUUGAAAUUCAACAGGAAAUAGUCUAUUAAGAAAUCAAGAAUCGGAAAAAAAA